UACGGAGGGUGCAAGCGUUGUCCGGAAUUAUUGGGCGUAAAGGGUGCGUAGGCGGUUUGAUAAGUCAUCUGUGAAAUCUCUGGGCUCAACCCAGAGUCUGCAGGCGAAACUGUCGGGCUUGAGUAUGGGAGAGGUGAGUGGAAUUUCCGGUGUAGCGGUGAAAUGCGUAGAUAUCGGAAGGAACACCUGUGGCGAAAGCGGCUCACUGGACCAUUACUGACGCUGAUGCACGAAAGCUAGGGGAGCAAACAGG
rnacentral:rRNA from 1 species